AUUGAACGCUGGCGGCAUGCCUUACACAUGCAAGUCGAACGGUAACAGGUUAAGCUGACGAGUGGCGAACGGGUGAGUAAUGUAUCGGAACGUGCCCAGUCGUGGGGGAUAACUGCUCGAAAGAGCAGCUAAUACCGCAUACGACCUGAGGGUGAAAGCGGGGGAUCGCAAGACCUCGCGCGAUUGGAGCGGCCGAUAUCAGAUUAGGUAGUUGGUGAGGUAAAGGCGCACCACGCCGACGAUCUGUAGCUGGCCUGAGAGGGCGACAAGCCACACGGGGACUGAGCCACGGCCCAUACUCCUACGGGAGGCAGCAGUGGGGAAUUUUGGACAAUGGGCGCAAGCCUGAUCCAGCCAUGCCGCGUGCGAGAAGAAGGCCUUCGGGUUGUAAACCGCUUUUGUCAGGGAAGAAAAGGUUCUGGCUAAUACCUGGGACUCAUGACGGUACCUGAAGAAUAAGCACCGGCUAACUACGUG
rnacentral:rRNA from 1 species